GGGGGUGUAUGGUUUCGACGGGAUUCGACGAAGUCAUUGUAAGCACGUCCAGGGAUCCGUUGGCCUGGUAAAAAAACGGAAAACUAAUAAAUGCUAAAAACGUAGCUAAUAGUGACGAUUUCGCACCAGACAUGGCUUUGGCUGCUUAAUUGAAACUGUAAAACGUUGAUCCCCUCCAUCGUGACGGGAUCGGCUCUUUAUGAGGGUGCUUGCGACUUAUAGAGAGUUCAAAUUAGUGAGCUAGUGAGUUGUGUGUGUCA
rnacentral:tmRNA from 1 species